rnacentral:ncRNA from 1 species
AACUCCUAACCUGGUAAUUCUUAGCAAGAAGCCAGUAUCUAGCCUUGGACUUAUAAUCGUGAGGUUAUAGGUUAAGCGUAGGCAAGAAAGAUAAAGAGCCCAAGCGUUAAGCGAAACCACUUUAGCCUCGUAAGUUAUAUAAAUGUAGUGGACGAUACACUCAUACUUGUCGCAGUCAAUACAAGUAGUACAUAAAGCUAGUACUAUAAGGCACUACCGGGGUUUG